CCUACGGGCGGCAGCAGUGAGGAAUAUUGGUCAAUGGUCGGGAGACUGAACCAGCCAAGCCGCGUGAGGGAUGAAGGUACAGAGUAUCGUAAACCUCUUUUGUCAGGGAACAAAGGCGGGGACGUGUCCCCGGAUGAGUGUACCUGAAGAAAAAGCAUCGGCUAACUCCGUGCCAGCAGCCGCGGUAAUACGGUUGAUGCGAGGGUUAUCCGGAUUUAUUGGGUUUAAGGGGUGCGCAGGCGGUCUGUUAAGUCAGCGGUAAAAGCCCGGGGCUCAACCCCGGCCCGCCGUUGAAACUGGCAGUCUCGAGUUGGAGAGAAGUAUGCGGAAUGCGCGGUGUAGCGGUGAAAUGCAUAGAUAUCGCGCAGAACUCCGAUUGCGAAGGCAGCAUGCCGGCUCCACACUGACGCUGAGGCACGAAAGCGUGGGUAUCGAACAGGAUUAGAUACCCGUGUAGUC
rnacentral:rRNA from 1 species